GUGUGAUAGAGCAGUGCUGUGGUGUAGUGAUAGAGCAGUGCUGUGUCAUAGAGCAGUGCUGUGUGAUAGAGCAGUGCUAUGCUGUGUGAUAGAGCAGUGCUGUGCUGUGUGAUAGAGCAGUGCUGUGGUGUAGUGAUAGAGCAGUGCUGUGUGAUAGAGCAGUGCUGUGUGAUAGAGCAGUGCUGUGUGAUAGAGCAGUGCUGUGGUGUAGUGAUAGAGCAGUGCUGUGUGAUAGAGCAGUGCUGUGUGAUAGAGCAGUGCUAUGUGAUAGAGCAGUGCUGUGGUGUAGUGAUAGAGCAGUGCUGUGGUGUAGUGAUAGAGCAGUGCCGUGUGAUAGAGCAGUGCUGUGUAAUAGAGCAGUGCUGUGGUGUAGUGAUAGAGCAGUGCUGUGUAAUAGAGCAGUGCUGUGUGAUAGAGCAGUGCUGUGUGAUAGAGCAGUGCUGUAUGAUAGAGCAGUGCCGUGUGAUAGAGCAGUGCUGUGUAAUAGAGCAGUGCUGUGUGAUAGAGCAGUGCCGUGUGAUAGAGCAGUGCUGUGUAAUAGAGCAGUGCUGUGUGAUAGAGCAGUGCUGUGUAAUAGAGCAGUGCUGUGUGAUAGAGCAGUGCCGUGUGAUAGAGCAGUGCUGUGUAAUAGAGCAGUGCUGUGUGAUAG
ensembl:lncRNA